UAGUAAUAAUAAUAAUAAUACAGAUGGGUAGUCAUGAUGGGUAUACUGGGCUUCGUAUAUUUUACCCCAGUGUCACUUUGAUGGCAUGCACUGCUCUCUCACUCAAUAAUAAUAAUAAUAAUAAAUGUCCUGAUGGAAUACCAGGCAGUGGUUCUCAUGUCUUCUGAUCUUAACUGAUUGGAAGUAUUAUCAUGUACAUUGUUUUGUCUUGGGAUAAAAGAUGGGCUACAGCAAAUAUUCUGCUCAAUACCACAGAUUUGCUUGUCAGUUGUUUGACCAUAACCGGUUGAGCACGCCCCUUGGUAGCUGACGAUAUGUGCAUCUCUGAUCAUGAGCAGAAGUAGUGGGGGAGCAUCAUAGACAUGUGUUGAAAGGGAUUCUUUAGGGUUUGAAUAAUUCACCUCUGGAAACAUGGGUGGUUCUUUCAACAUCCUUAAACAACCCUUAUUCAGGGACCUUUUGAGCGGGACGGGGUUACUCGACUAGAAGAAAAUUCUAACUGGGCCCCACCUGCAAGGUUAUGUGCUGUUUAUCUUGAUAUGAGAUCACCAUUUUGCGCACAUAUGGUUAUAGGUUAAGAACAAAGAUAAUUCUUCUAGUUUCUUAAGGAUUCAAGAUGAUAGGUUAGCCCUGAUUUUCUGGGUUUUAUAUAUAUUUUUGUUAUAGUGGUGGUGGGCUGAGGUCUUGGUUAGUUUUAUAUAGGAUAGACAUGUGAUAGUGGCAACGGCCCUACUUUUUGAAGAGUAGACAUUCUAGUGAUUGAUUCUCUCUUCAAUAUAGCAUUAUGUGUGAGAAGGGGUAGAUGGGGAUAUGGGUUGGCAAAAUUGUUACAGUAUCGGACAAAAUGCUUUGUAGCAUUCACUCCAGUUCUUUAAAUACGUUCAAAGUUGAAAUCCUUCUGAGGUCACCUUUGCUUUUCAUCUUUCCAGAGUUGGUCAAGCGUACCAGUGAAUUACCACGAUUGAUGGAGUUGACUAACCCCAUCCCCCUCAAAGCUACUGGCUUUGUACGUAAAUCAGAAACAAGAAUUGCGUGCAAGGAGGGUAACCCUGCUGGUGGAGCCCAACUCAUAACCCCUUACACAGAGAAGUUAUUGAAACCAGCACUGCAAGCUAAUGAAACAUCCAUGGGGUGACAGUUGUCCCUGCUGUUUACUAAAGAUGGACAUUUCCUUUUCAUGGAAUCUAUUCAUUGUUUAGUGGACUGAUGUGCACAAAAUAUUGCUGUCUGAUAGAAGAUAAGAACCUCAGACCUUUCGGCUGGCAUCCUGUCCACUCAACCACCAUCUCAGUGUGUGUUAUGUUAAAUCUUUUACGCCUUACAGAGAAUAGACCAUUGAUGACUUUUCUUGACUGUUCUCCACUCUGAGCUCUCUUUUCAAGGAAGGCUUCUCUCUUCUAGGUCUUGGUGGUUCUGAAUUGUCAUCGAUGCCUCUAUAUUCUUUGCUGUUCUUUCUAGAUGAGGUGAAGCUGGCCCUAGGCAAACCCAUUUUUGCUUCUGGAAGGAGUUGGUCCAUAUAUUUCUGGCCUCUAUCCUUUGACAUGCCUGCAUGGGAGACCUUACCAGGACGUUGCCCCUUCACUGUCAUAGCUCCCAAGGCCAUUGAGGCAUACAAGUCACCACAUUGCAGCAAGGACUGGACCCUGUGGUGGACUGUGUGUGUGUGUGUAGGUGUGUAUAUGUCUGUGCGUACACAUUCAUUUGUGUAAAUGUGUGUAUGCAUUCAUGUGUGUGUGUGUGUGUGCGUGUUUCUUUAAUCUGUGUCAUCCACGUAAAUGUGUGUGCAUUUGUAAAUAUGUGUAUGUGUACAGGGAAAUGUGUGUGUAUUUGUGCAACUGUGUGUAUGCACUGGGAAUAGUGUGUGUACACACUAGAAUAUAGUAUGUGUGUGUAAUCUGUAGCAUACACACACAUGGACACAGAUGAUGUAUAUAGAAAAUUAAUAGUAAUUAUUAUUAUUAACGAAAUAUCUCUAGGUGUAACUUAACAGUAGUAAUAAUAAUAAUAAUAGUAGUAGUAGUAGUAGUGGUAUGUUAGUAUUAAAGGGAGAUAACUUGAAGUUACUCCCCCCCCUAAUAUUACUGCUGUACAAAUAAUUUGAAAGCAUUUAAAACAUCAUAGCUAAUGAUGCUGUGGUGUUCAUCCGUGUUUGUGUUGUCUCAUUAUCUAUAUGUGGUUGUUAUAAUAAUGUUCAUCAUGUUUUUUUUUUAUUUUAUCCAUAGAAAAGACUCAACAACAAAAAUCAAAAUGAAAUUGUAACUGAAAGUAAAUAAAAAAUUUUUUUAAAAUCUAUUUAUUUAAAACGGAAAAAAAC
rnacentral:lncRNA from 1 species